GCACGAAGUUAGCCGGGGCUUCUUCUGCGGGUACCGUCAUCAUCGUCCCCGCCGAAAGUGCUUUACAAUCCGAAGACCUUCUUCACACACGCGGCAUUGCUGGAUCAGGCUUGCGCCCAUUGUCCAAUAUUCCCCAC
rnacentral:rRNA from 1 species